rnacentral:lncRNA from 1 species
CUCCUCUGCUCCUGUGCGAUUCCCCACCCGGCUCCUCAUCCACUUCCGCCAUUUCCUCCGAUUUGCCGCCGGCGAAGGUAUAUGUCGCUGCUACCAUCAGUAAACUAUUCCCCAUGCUAUCACACAUCUACAUGUCGCUUAUUUUUUGUCUGAAUUUUGUUUCCUUGAGGUGGUGGCGCUGGCGCAACUGACUGGGUGAGUGCAUGGAUCUCGGCGAGCUCGUCGAGUCUGGCGACACGGCCAUGGAUAUGGCCAAGGAGAGUGCGGGCUACACUCCUCAAAGUUUAAUUGGCCGGAGGCUUUGGAUGAUGGUGGCACAGAGGUAUUGAGGGAUCUCACGGAGAGUAGGGAACAGUAGCAAGACGUGAGCAGCUUCUGCUGGCGGAUGUUAGUUGUUGCCCUCCUGCUAUGCGACCUGCUACCAAAUAAUAUGGAGGAGGUUUUCUGUUAGAAACAUUAGUUAGAACUGUAAACAUAUCUGAGUGUUGUAUAUCUUUCUCUAGCUUUUAUUGUGGUGUGUCCUUGGUAACAAACACGAAAUAAUAAUCAGGAAAAACCUCGAGAGAUCUUAUGACCUCCUUUACCUUUGUACUGUGUGCAAAC